UCUAUUCUUAUUCUAGUUCUUGGCGUUCAAAUGUGUUUCUUGAAUCAUCUCUAGUAAGUCUGCCAGACACUUUGAAGAUUCUUUGUUGGAAUGGUUUCCCUCAAAGAUCUUUGCCAUCAAACCUUUGCCCACAAAAUCUGGUGAGACUUGAAAUGCCAAACUGCCAUCUUGAACAACUUUGGGAAAGAGAUCAGAAUUUACCAAAGUUGAAAAGGCUCAACCUGAGUUAUUCUCCAAAACUUACUAGAAUACCAGAUCUUUCUCUUUUACCAAAUAUUAAAGAAAUAAUUCUGAGUCAUUGUGAAAAGUUGAUUCAAGUUCACUCUUCCAGAUUUCUCAGCAAGCUCAGUUGUUUAUUGUUAAAUGGUUGUUAUGGUCUGAAGAGUGUAACAAUUCCCAGCAAUAUUCUAACCAGAUCACCUGGAUUGAUUCUACUUUCCGAUUGUCACGAGCUUGAAAUGUUUCAAACCUGUGAAACUCAAUCAUGGCCUUUUCCAUUAUUAUCAUCAAUCUGGGAAAGACCCCACUAUAGAAGGGGUAAAUCUAUGCCUUUCAUAAGACUAGAUCCCAGUGAAAUCUUCUCAAUUACCUUUGAUAGAUACGAGGAGGAAGAAAAAGAAGUGACUAAUAAUGAUAUAUACUUACAAUGUGAUGAAGUACUGACGAAACUAAGAGAAGGUGUACCCUUAAACUUUCAAAGUCUGAAGAAAUUCUGUUUCUUAGAUGUGUCUCACUGUUCUUCCCUUACAACCUUUCCAUGUGACCUUUCUGAGACGAAAUUCCUGAAGCAACUUUGUCUCCGUGAUUGCUCAAAAUUGGAAAAUUUCCCCGAAAUUGAGGACACGGUGGAAGGUCUAGCGGUUCUCAUCUUAGACGGCACAGCCAUACAGGCACUACCUUCAUCCUUGUGGCGUUUGGUAGGGCUUGAACAACUGAGUAUGCGAGGUUGCAAGAAUCUUGAGAUUAUUCCAUCUUCCAUUGGAAGCCUCAUCAGACUAUGCAAGUUAGACAUUACCUACUGUGAAUCACUUCAAACUUUUCCAAGCACCAUUUUCAAAUUGAAGUUGAGGAUACUUGAUUUGUGUGGAUGUUUAAGGUUGAGGACCUUCCCAGAGAUCACGGAGCAGGCACAAACUUUUUCUCACAUUAACUUAAAAGAAACGGCUAUCAAAGAACUGCCUUCCUCAUUUGGCAAUUUGGUUAAUCUUCGAUCCCUGCAGCUCAACAAAUGCACUGAUCUCGAAUCACUCCCAAACUCCAUUGUUAAUCUAAAGCGUCUCUGUAAACUUGAUUGUUCGGGUUGUGCCAAAUUAACAGAAAUCCCAACACACAUUGGUCGCUUGUCUUCAUUAAUGGAAAUGUCACUGAGAAAGAGUGGAAUCAUGAACCUUCCCGAGAGCAUGGCUCAUCUUUCAAGCUUGAAAUCGCUUGAUUUAAGCGAUUGCAAAAAGCUUGAAUGCAUCCCACCUAUUCCACCGUUUCUAAAACAACUCGUAGCAUUGGAUUGCCCAUCCAUUAGAAGAGUGAUGCCAAAUUCUCUUGUUCGAAACCUCUCAGAGUCGAAGGAGGGUGUCUUCAAAUUUCAUUUCACCAAUGCCCAACAACUGGAUUCAGGUGCUCGUGCUAACAUUGAGGAGGAUGCAAGGCUCAGAAUGACCGACGAUGCAUAUAGGUCUGUGUUCUUCUGUUUUCCAGGGAGUGCAGUUCCUCAUUGGUUCCCUUUUCGUGGUAAUGGACCUUCAGUGAGUAUAAAUGAAGAUUUAAGUUUCUGCAGCGAUGACAGGCUCAUUGGUUUCGCUUUGUGUGUUGUUUUUGAACUGUUAGACAUGAAUGAUAUUGAAGGUAGAUACGGUUCUUUUAGUUACAGCCUAAAAUUUGAAUCUGAUGAUGAUGGUACACAGAUUAUUCAAAUAAUGAUGU
rnacentral:sRNA from 1 species